AUGAACGCUGGCGGCGUGCCUAAUACAUGCAAGUCGAGCGAACAGACGAGGAGCUUGCUCCUCUGACGUUAGCGGCGGACGGGUGAGUAACACGUGGAUAACCUACCUAUAAGACUGGGAUAACUUCGGGAAACCGGAGCUAAUACCGGAUAAUAUAUUGAACCGCAUGGUUCAAUAGUGAAAGACGGUUUUGCUGUCACUUAUAGAUGGAUCCGCGCCGCAUUAGCUAGUUGGUAAGGUAACGGCUUACCAAGGCGACGAUGCGUAGCCGACCUGAGAGGGUGAUCGGCCACACUGGAACUGAGACACGGUCCAGACUCCUACGGGAGGCAGCAGUAGGGAAUCUUCCGCAAUGGGCGAAAGCCUGACGGAGCAACGCCGCGUGAGUGAUGAAGGUCUUCGGAUCGUAAAACUCUGUUAUUAGGGAAGAGCAAAUGUGUAAGUAACUAUGCACGUCUUGACGGUACCUAAUCAGAAAGCCACGGCUAACUACGUG
rnacentral:rRNA from 1 species